rnacentral:rRNA from 1 species
UACGGAGGGAGCUAGCGUUGUUCGGAAUUACUGGGCGUAAAGCGCACGUAGGCGGCUUUGUAAGUUAGAGGUGAAAGCCCGGGGCUCAACUCCGGAACUGCCUUUAAAACUGCAUCGCUUGAAUCCGGGAGAGGUGAGUGGAAUUCCGAGUGUAGAGGUGAAAUUCGUAGAUAUUCGGAAGAACACCAGUGGCGAAGGCGGCUCACUGGACCGGCAUUGACG